CAUGAGGCCCGUGGACCAAAAGUGGUCCUCCAGAGGGUCAACAUGAGGCCCGUGGGCCAAAAGCGGUCCUCCAGAGGGUCCAACAUGAGGCCCGUGGGCCAAAAGCGGUCCUCCAGAGGGUCCAACAUGAGGCCCGUGGGCCAAAAGCGGUCCUCCAGAGGGUCCAACAUGAGGCCCGUGGGCCAAAAGCGGUCCUCCAGAGGGUCCAACAUGAGGCCCGUGGGCCAAAAGCGGUCCUCCAGAGGGUCCAACAUGAGGCCCGUGGACCAAAAGCGGUCCUCCAGAGGGACCAACAUGAGGCCCGUGGGCCAAAAGCGGUCCUCCAGAGGGUCCAACAUGAGGCCCGUGGGCCAAAAGCGGUCCUCCAGAGGGUCCAACAUGAGGCCCGUGGGCCAAAAGCGGUCCUCCAGAGGGUCCAACAUGAGGCCCGUGGACCAAAAGCGGUCCUCCAGAG